ensembl:lncRNA
UGGUGACUCAUCUCUGAACCUCAAAUUUCAGUCUCAGCUACCUAGGAAUCAGCAACAAUCAGAGAAAAGGGAUGUAGGGCAGUUACAGUAAAAACAAACAUAAGAACAGAAAAUCAAAGGGCAGCAAAAAAACAACACUGCCAAAUAAAACCUCCCCUCCCCUGCCCUUCCUUCCUUUUCUUUCCCUUUCUCCUUCUUAGGGGAAAGAAGCAGUGGGGAAAAGAAAAAAGAAAAAGAAAGAAAGAAAGAAAGAAAGAAAGAAAGAAAGAAAGAAAGAAAGAAAGGAAGAAGAAAGAAAGAAAGGAAGAAAGGAAGAAAGGAAGAAAGGAAGAAAGGAAGAAAGGAAGAAAGGAAGAAAGAAAGAAAGAAAGAAUUAAAAAAAAGAAAGAAAAUAAAAAAAAAACACUUUCUUUCCAGAAGUCUUUAAACCAUUGCAGCUGCCUUCUGCAGUGGAGUGGGAGAUUGCUGUGCAAGAGAGGACUCCAAAAACCAAGGAUAAAACAGUUCUCAAGAGAACAGCAUCAAGAGGCAUCGUGCUCACAGACUUUCAUCUUGAUGGGAGAUUUCAACCGCAUGGAUGUAAGCUGGGAAAACAACAUGGAAGGUUGAAAAUAUUCCAAGAGACUGCUGAAGAUAACUACCUGGUCCAGGUAUACCGGUCCGAAGAGACAAGCAAACUGGCUUCAACAGACACGGAGAAGGAUGACGUACUGAAGAAGUUCUUUUCCUUGAUCUUCUCUGCUAGUUAGGCUUAUCAUGUCUCUUAUGUCCCUGAAACUCAAGCUCUCCUCCCUGCUGCUCGACCUGACUGCACAUCUCGCCUCAGCGUUGUGCAUUCUAUUCACCUACUGAGAGGCUGCACAGAAACCAGUGACACCAGCUUUUCAGCUACUAGGAUAUCCCAGGAUCAACUGAAAUUAAUGUGCAGCAAAUGGACUGCGAAAGAAAGGAAGAAAGGAAGAAAGGAAGAAAGGAAGAAAGGAAGAAAGGAAGAAAGGAAGAAAGAAAGAAAGAAAGAGAGAAAGAAAGAGAGAAAGAGAGAAAGAAAGAGAGAAAGAAAGAGAGAAAGAAAGAGAGAAAGAAAGAAAGAAAGAAAGAAAGAAAGAAAGAAAGAAAGAAAGAAAGAAAGAAAGAAAGAAAGAAAGAGAGAAAGAAAGAAAG